AUCCCAUGAUGAGGACAGUCUUCAAUGUUAUUUUGGAAUCUUUCCUAUGCUUCAGUGAAUGAUUCAUCAUGUUGUUGUUGGAAACUUAAAAUCAUCCGACACAGAGCAU
rnacentral:snoRNA from 1 species